rnacentral:rRNA from 1 species
GGGUUGUGAGGUUAAGCGACUAAGCGUACACGGUGGAUGCCCUGGCAGUCAGAGGCGAUGAAGGACGUGCUAAUCUGCGAUAAGCGUCGGUAAGGUGAUAUGAACCGUUAUAACCGGCGAUUUCCGAAUGGGGAAACCCAGUGUGUUUCGACACACUAUCAUUAACUGAAUCCAUAGGUUAAUGAGGCGAACCGGGGGAACUGAAACAUCUAAGUACCCCGAGGAAAAGAAAUCAACCGAGAUUCCCCCAGUAGCGGCGAGCGAACGGGGAGCAGCCCAGAGCCUGAAUCAGUGUGUGUGUUAGUGGAAGCGUCUGGAAAGGCGCGCGAUACAGGGUGACAGCCCCGUACACAAAAAUGCACAUGCUGUGAGCUCGAUGAGUAGGGCGGGACACGUGGUAUCCUGUCUGAAUAUGGGGGGACCAUCCUCCAAGGCUAAAUACUCCUGACUGACCGAUAGUGAACCAGUACCGUGAGGGAAAGGCGAAAAGAACCCCGGCGAGGGGAGUGAAAAAGAACCUGAAACCGUGUACGUACAAGCAGUGGGAGCACGCUUAGGCGUGUGACUGCGUACCUUUUGUAUAAUGGGUCAGCGACUUAUAUUCUGUAGCAAGGUUAACCGAAUAGGGGAGCCGAAGGGAAACCGAGUCUUAACUGGGCGUUAAGUUGCAGGGUAUAGACCCGAAACCCGGUGAUCUAGCCAUGGGCAGGUUGAAGGUUGGGUAACACUAACUGGAGGACCGAACCGACUAAUGUUGAAAAAUUAGCGGAUGACUUGUGGCUGGGGGUGAAAGGCCAAUCAAACCGGGAGAUAGCUGGUUCUCCCCGAAAGCUAUUUAGGUAGCGCCUCGUGAAUUCAUCUCCGGGGGUAGAGCACUGUUUCGGCAAGGGGGUCAUCCCGACUUACCAACCCGAUGCAAACUGCGAAUACCGGAGAAUGUUAUCACGGGAGACACACGGCGGGUGCUAACGUCCGUCGUGAAGAGGGAAACAACCCAGACCGCCAGCUAAGGUCCCAAAGUCAUGGUUAAGUGGGAAACGAUGUGGGAAGGCCCAGACAGCCAGGAUGUUGGCUUAGAAGCAGCCAUCAUUUAAAGAAAGCGUAAUAGCUCACUGGUCGAGUCGGCCUGCGCGGAAGAUGUAACGGGGCUAAACCAUGCACCGAAGCUGCGGCAGCGACGCUUAUGCGUUGUUGGGUAGGGGAGCGUUCUGUAAGCCUGUGAAGGUGUGCUGUGAGGCAUGCUGGAGGUAUCAGAAGUGCGAAUGCUGACAUAAGUAACGAUAAAGCGGGUGAAAAGCCCGCUCGCCGGAAGACCAAGGGUUCCUGUCCAACGUUAAUCGGGGCAGGGUGAGUCGACCCCUAAGGCGAGGCCGAAAGGCGUAGUCGAUGGGAAACAGGUUAAUAUUCCUGUACUUGGUGUUACUGCGAAGGGGGGACGGAGAAGGCUAUGUUGGCCGGGCGACGGUUGUCCCGGUUUAAGCGUGUAGGCUGGUUUUCCAGGCAAAUCCGGAAAAUCAAGGCUGAGGCGUGAUGACGAGGCACUACGGUGCUGAAGCAACAAAUGCCCUGCUUCCAGGAAAAGCCUCUAAGCAUCAGGUAACAUCAAAUCGUACCCCAAACCGACACAGGUGGUCAGGUAGAGAAUACCAAGGCGCUUGAGAGAACUCGGGUGAAGGAACUAGGCAAAAUGGUGCCGUAACUUCGGGAGAAGGCACGCUGAUAUGUAGGUGAAGUCCCUCGCGGAUGGAGCUGAAAUCAGUCGAAGAUACCAGCUGGCUGCAACUGUUUAUUAAAACACAGCACUGUGCAAACACGAAAGUGGACGUAUACGGUGUGACGCCUGCCCGGUGCCGGAAGGUUAAUUGAUGGGGUUAGCCGCAAGGCGAAGCUCUUGAUCGAAGCCCCGGUAAACGGCGGCCGUAACUAUAACGGUCCUAAGGUAGCGAAAUUCCUUGUCGGGUAAGUUCCGACCUGCACGAAUGGCGUAAUGAUGGCCAGGCUGUCUCCACCCGAGACUCAGUGAAAUUGAACUCGCUGUGAAGAUGCAGUGUACCCGCGGCAAGACGGAAAGACCCCGUGAACCUUUACUAUAGCUUGACACUGAACAUUGAGCCUUGAUGUGUAGGAUAGGUGGGAGGCUUAGAAGUGUGGACGCCAGUCUGCAUGGAGCCGACCUUGAAAUACCACCCUUUAAUGUUUGAUGUUCUAACGUUGACCCGUAAUCCGGGUUGCGGACAGUGUCUGGUGGGUAGUUUGACUGGGGCGGUCUCCUCCUAAAGAGUAACGGAGGAGCACGAAGGUUGGCUAAUCCUGGUCGGACAUCAGGAGGUUAGUGCAAUGGCAUAAGCCAGCUUGACUGCGAGCGUGACGGCGCGAGCAGGUGCGAAAGCAGGUCAUAGUGAUCCGGUGGUUCUGAAUGGAAGGGCCAUCGCUCAACGGAUAAAAGGUACUCCGGGGAUAACAGGCUGAUACCGCCCAAGAGUUCAUAUCGACGGCGGUGUUUGGCACCUCGAUGUCGGCUCAUCACAUCCUGGGGCUGAAGUAGGUCCCAAGGGUAUGGCUGUUCGCCAUUUAAAGUGGUACGCGAGCUGGGUUUAGAACGUCGUGAGACAGUUCGGUCCCUAUCUGCCGUGGGCGCUGGAGAACUGAGGGGGGCUGCUCCUAGUACGAGAGGACCGGAGUGGACGCAUCACUGGUGUUCGGGUUGUCAUGCCAAUGGCACUGCCCGGUAGCUAAAUGCGGAAGAGAUAAGUGCUGAAAGCAUCUAAGCACGAAACUUGCCCCGAGAUGAGUUCUCCCUGACUCCUUGAGAGUCCUGAAGGAACGUUGAAGACGACGACGUUGAUAGGCCGGGUGUGUAAGCGCAGCGAUGCGUUGAGCUAACCGGUACUAAUGAACCGUGAGGCUUAACCUUACAACGCCGAAGGUGUUU